AAAAGUCAUCAGGUGUUACAUUAAAAAAAAAAUCGAUAGUAUUUAUCAUAUAAUUUUUUAAUAUCUUAAUGAAAUUAUGCUUCAUGAUAAUAAACAUGUAUAUUAUAUAUUCUCAUUUUGGAUAUUCUGGACCUGAAGCCACCGUCAGUCAGCUGUGUGUGGUGUGACAUGUGACAUAAGUGCUGGGGCCAUACUCAGGUUCUCUGCAGGAAAAGGGCCCCUGACUGCUGCGCACCUGUCCAACUCUACAAAGAUUGCUCAUGGCCAUCUCUCAGCUGACUCUUACUAAGAUGCCAGAAUAUAAAUAUGCCCAGGCUGGACCACAAAGGAGGAGUAGUGUUCACUAUAGAUCCAAACAUUUGCGAUCAUUUAAACCUGAGGUUUACAGACAGAUUGAGCUGCUUGGAUGACUUAAAGGGUAUGAACACAGGAUCCACAGUAAGGACAGAGAAUGAGCAUCAUCAGAUGACAACUCAUUGGCCUUCUUAGAAGGAGUGAUGAAAUUAAACUGAUAACUGUGUUCAUCAGCCUAAUCUUUUUUUUUAACUGUUCUUAUAUUUUUCUUUUUUAUUAGAUAUUUUCUUUAUUUACAUUUCAAAUGUUAUCCCCUUUCCCAGUUUUGCCUCUGAAAACCCCCUGUCCCUUUCCCCCUCUCCCUGAUCAUCAACACACCCACCCCUGCUUCCUGGCCCUGACAAUCCCCUAUAAUUGGGCAUAGAACCUUUACAGUACCAAGGGCUCUCCUCCCACUGAUGACCAACUAGGCCAUCCUCUGCUACAUAUGCAGCUAGAGCCAUGAGUCCCACCAUGUGUUUUCUUUGGUUGGUGGUUAAGUCCCAGGGAGCUCUGGGGGUACUGGUUAGUUCAUAUUGUUGUUCCUCCUAUGGGGCUGCAAACCCCUUCAGCUCCUUGGGUUCUUUCUCUAGAUCCUUCAUUGGGGACCUUGUGCUACAUCCAAUGGAUGACUGUGAGCAUCCACUUCUGUAUUUGUCAGGCACUGGCAGAGCCUCUUAGGAGACAGCUAUCAGGCUCCUGCCAGCAAGCUCUUAUUGGCAUCCACAAUAGUGUCUGGGUUUGGUGGUUGUUUAUGGAAUGGAUCCCCAGGUGGGACAGUCUCAACACUUCCUCAGCUUCUUCCUGCAACACAGCUAAAUGGUUUGAACAUGGCCCUCACUUCUCUGUUCUUGCCCAUGAGGUUUUGGUACCUGGAUUUUGGUUUCUCACAUCUUCAAGUAGAGAUGUCUUAUUCAACAUUCAGAUUUCAGCCUCGACCUAUUCUCUGAGGAUCACUGCAUCUCUUUUAUAUUAGGUUAGAUUCUGUGCAAUGUAUUUCUAUACUAGAACGGGCAUCACAGUUUUUAGGAUGCCUUGUUUUAACUGUUUCCUCUACUGGGUAUCGCUCUAUGAAGAAAAGGGUUGUGGUCAUACAUGCUAUGCUCCCUCUUCAGGUUACUGCAUAAUGUAUGGUUACAGUAAAUGCACAAUUAAUUUUUAUUUUAUGAAUAUGUCCAUAUUAGUCCAUCUUUCAAAAGAAAUAACUACUAAAUUUAAGCUACAUAUACGGUCAUAAUUAUUUUAGCUAUAUAGUAUAAAUUCCCUAAUUUACCAAUUUCAUAUAUUUAUUUAUUUAUUUUUUUGCCAGAGGCAGUAUUAGAGACAUGUAUUUUAAAUAGUCUUCCAGGGAAGCAUAUUUAGACUAUGCUGGGUGGAAAAAACAAUAACAUUGCAGAAUUCAUUUGAGAAAGUAACCUCUUUGAAGACUGUUAGUUGCAAAAUUCAAAAUGACUACUC
rnacentral:lncRNA from 1 species